rnacentral:rRNA from 1 species
AUUGAACGCUGGCGGAAUGCUUUACACAUGCAAGUCGAGCGGCAGCGCGGGGCAACCUGGCGGCGAGCGGCGAACGGGUGAGUAACACAUCGGAACGUACCCUGUCGUGGGGGAUAGCCCGGCGAAAGCCGGAUUAAUACCGCAUACGACCUGAGGGUGAAAGCGGGGGAUUCUUGGGCAACCGAGGACCUCGCGCGAUAGGAGCGGCCGAUGGCGGAUUAGCUAGUUGGUGGGGUAAAGGCCUACCAAGGCGACGAUCCGUAGCGGGUCUGAGAGGACGGCCCGCCACACUGGAACUGAGACACGGUCCAGACUCCUACGGGAGGCAGCAGUGGGGAAUUUUGGACAAUGGGGGCAACCCUGAUCCAGCCAUUCCGCGUGAGUGAAGAAGGCCUUCGGGUUGUAAAGCUCUUUCGGCAGGAACGAAACGGUGGAGGCUAAUACCUUUCAUCAAUGACGGUACCUGAAGAAGAAGCACCGGCUAACUACGUGCCAGCAGCCGCGGUAAUACGUAGGGUGCGAGCGUUAAUCGGAAUUACUGGGCGUAAAGCGUGCGCAGGCGGCUCACUAAGACAGAUGUGAAAUCCCCGGGCUUAACCUGGGAACUGCGUUUGUGACUGGUGGGCUGGAGUGUGGCAGAGGGGGGUGGAAUUCCACGUGUAGCAGUGAAAUGCGUAGAGAUGUGGAGGAACACCGAUGGCGAAGGCAGCCCCCUGGGUUGACACUGACGCUCAUGCACGAAAGCGUGGGGAGCAAACAGGAUUAGAUACCCUGGUAGUCCACGCCUAAACGAUGCCAACUAGGUGUUGGAGAAGGAGACUUCUUUAGUACCGUAGCUAACGCGUGAAGUUGGCCGCCUGGGGAGUACGGUCGCAAGAUUAAAACUCAAAGGAAUUGACGGGGACCCGCACAAGCGGUGGAUGAUGUGGAUUAAUUCGAUGCAACGCGAAAAACCUUACCUACCCUUGACAUGCCAGGAACCCUGCCGAGAGGUGGGGGUGCCCGAAAGGAGCC